rnacentral:rRNA from 1 species
AUUGAACGCUGGCGGAAUGCUUUACACAUGCAAGUCGAACGGCAGCACGGACUUCGGUCUGGUGGCGAGUGGCGAACGGGUGAGUAAUGUAUCGGAACGUGCCCAAUCGUGGGGGAUAACGUAGUGAAAAUUACGCUAAUACCGCAUACGAUCUAUGGGUGAAAGCGGGGGAUCGCAAGACCUCGCGCGAUUGGAGCGGCCGAUAUCAGAUUAGGUAGUUGGUGGGGUAAAGGCCCACCAAGCCAACGAUCUGUAGCUGGUCUGAGAGGACGACCAGCCACACUGGAACUGAGACACGGUCCAGACUCCUACGGGAGUCAGCAGUGGGGAAUUUUGGACAAUGGGCGAAAGCCUGAUCCAGCCAUUCCGCGUGCAGGAUGAAGGCCCUCGGGUUGUAAACUGCUUUUGUACAGAACGAAAAGGUUUCUACUAAUACUAGGAGCUCAUGACGGUACUGUAAGAAUAAGCACCGGCUAACUACGUGCCAGCAGCCGCCGUAA